rnacentral:rRNA from 1 species
UACGUAGGGGGCAAGCGUUAUCCGGAUUUACUGGGUGUAAAGGGAGCGCAGGCGGCGUGGCAAGUCAGAUGUGAAAACCCGGGGCCCAACCCCGGGAGUGCAUUUGAAACUGCCAUGCUGGAGUGCCGGAGAGGUAAGCGGAAUUCCGUAGUGUAGCGGUGAAAUGCGUAGAUAUUAGGAGGAACACCAGUGGCGAAGGCGGCUUACUGGACUGUAACUGACGUUGAGGCUCGGAAAGCG